UCCAGGGUAGCCUAGUGGACAUGGCACCUGCAGGUAAGCAGAAGGUUGUGGGUUCGAUUCCCGCCCCUGGAU